UACGAAGGGGGCUAGCGUUGCUCGGAAUUACUGGGCGUAAAGGGCGCGUAGGCGGACUGUUUAGUCAGAGGUGAAAGCCCAGGGCUCAACCUUGGAACAGCCUUUGAUACUGGCAGUCUUGAGUACGGGAGAGGUGAGUGGAACUCCGAGUGUAGAGGUGAAAUUCGUAGAUAUUCGGAAGAACACCAGUGGCGAAGGCGACUCACUGGCCCGUUACUGACGCUGAGGCGCAAAAGCGUGGGGAGCAAACAGG
rnacentral:rRNA from 1 species